rnacentral:tRNA from 1 species
CGAGGGUUAGUUCAGUGGUAGAAUAGCACACUGUCUAUGCGAAGGUCACCAGUUCGAAUCUGGUACUCUCGG